AUUAAAAAAAUUAUACUAAUUUUUUUUAAAUAAAAUAUUAAUAAAUUUUAGUAAAUUAAUCAAGAAAAAAUUAAUUUUAUAAUAAAUUAAAGUAUAGUGAUAGAAUUUUAUAAUAGAAUUUUUAAAUUUUUUAAAGAAUAAUUAAAUUUUAGUACCUUGUGUAUCAGGGUUGAUUAAAUUAAAAUUAAAUAAUUUAAUUUUCUCGAAUUUAAAAGAUUUAAAAAAUUAUAUUUUUUAUUGUGAAAUAAAUAUUAAAAAUAAUUUUUUAGUAAUGAAACGUUAUUCGUUUUUAAAUAUAUCUAGUUUUUUAAGAAAUAAAUUUAAUUUAUUAAUUAAUUUUAUUUUAUUUAUAUUUUAUAAAUAAAAAGUAUUAAUUAAAAAUUUUUUAAGGGAUAAGCUUUAAAAUAAAUUUAUAUAAAUUUUUAAAAUUUAAUUGAAUAAAAGUAGAAUUAAAAAUUUUUAUCAUUUAUAAUUUGUUAUAAUUAAUAUUUUUAAUUAAAUUAUUUUUAUUAAUUUUAUAUUUUUUAUUAAAAUAAUUAAUUAAAUUUUAUUAUUAAUGUAAUAAUGAUUAAAUUAGUAUAAUAUAAUUGUAGUUUUAUAAAAUAAAUAAAGAUUAAAUUAAGGAAUUCGGCAAAAUUAAUUUUUCGCCUGUUUAUUAAAAACAUGUCUUUUUGUAUAAAAUUUAAAGUCUAACCUGCCCAAUGAUUAAUUUAAUGGCUGCGGUAUUUUGACCGUACAAAGGUAGCAUAAUCAUUAGUUUUUUAAUUGAAAACUUGUAUGAAUGGUUGAACGAGAAAGUUACUGUCUCAAUUUAAAUUGAUUAUAAUUUUAUUUUUAAGUAAAAAAGCUUAAAUUUUAUUAAAAGACGAGAAGACCCUAUAGAGUUUAAUAAAUAUUAAGUUUUAAUUUUAAGAAUUAGUAUUUGUUUAAUAUUUAUUUUAUUGGGGUGAUAAAUAAAUUUAAUAAACUUUAUUUUUUUUUACUCAUUGAUUUAUGAAUUAUUGAUCCAAUUAUUUUGAUUAAAAGAUUAAAUUACCUUAGGGAUAACAGCGUAAUUUUUUUUAAGAGUUCUUAUCGAAAAAAAAGAUUGCGACCUCGAUGUUGGAUUAAAAUUAAUUUUUGGUGUAGAAGCUAAAAUAUUAAGUCUGUUCGACUUUUAAUUUUUUACAUGAUCUGAGUUUAAAUCGGUGUGAGCCAGAUUGGUUUCUAUCUUUAAUUAAAAUAAAUAUUUUAGUACGAAAGGACCAAAUAUUAAUAAAAUUUAUUUUUUUUUGAAUAUUAAUA
rnacentral:rRNA from 1 species